rnacentral:lncRNA from 1 species
AAAUCUUUACUCUCAAAUCUUUUCCUUCCAACAACAUUAAAAAAAUAAUGAAAAAAAAACGAUCGUAUUUAGCGUAGUUGAUUAAGGACUUGAUAGUUGGUAUCUGAGAUACUUCAUAUUUUUAGUUGAAUUUAUUUUUCGAAAACAAAUAAAGUGAAUAAUAUGCUAUCUCUCUCUCUCUCUCUCUGAGAGUGUUGCGCUUCUUAUCUUUUCUUUUAAAUAGAGAAAAAGUUAUUUAGGCAAAAGCAAUCACAAAGUCUAAACAAAAGAGAGCGAUAAUUAUCGACUGUCCCUAGCGGAAGUGGUAAAGGGUUUAGUGGUUGAUACCCGAAAUACCAAGUUCGAAUUCUAGUUGAUUUAAAUUUUCAGUUAAAUUUAUUUUUAAAUGAAAUAAACGAAACGAAUAGCAUACUACCUAUCUUUCUCUUAAAAAAAA